GACGAUAGAAUUCAUUACUUCUCAUUAUAAAACUUGGAUAUGGCCAAUAUGCCUCGUGCCCAACCGGUGAGAAUGACCCGGAAUAUGUAGCAACAUAAUUCUCUGUUGUGAAAUGCUCGCUAACAAAAUUUCUAGCUAGCCCUCCCAUUCUUUCAGUAACCUUCAUGACAUGUGAAUACGGAAAGUGCAAAUUAGCCCAUUUUCCACAAUCACAUUUUUUAUCAUUUAGUGAAACACGAUGAGGAUUACCACCAGUACCAUCAACUUGAAUAGAUCUAACCUCAUAUGUCCCAGUGGAUAUAUUCCAAUCAAAAACAAAGUGUCUUUUUGAACUUUCGUAGUUCUUCUCCCACUUUACUUUGAACNNN
rnacentral:lncRNA from 1 species